GAGAGAGAGAGAGAGAGAGAGAGAGAGAGAGAGACAGGAGUGUUAGAGUUGUGGGGUGAAUCUACAUGUGUCAGUGUGUAAUAAAGUGCAUUUAUAACAGUUCAUGGACUUAAAAUGGCUGAAAUAAUGAUUACACAUCCAUCUCAAUGUGGUCCACAGCUCUUUCUCAAUGGUCUUUCCUUGAUUCCUUGUGUCUUCUUUUCUCACCUCCUGCUCAAAAGGCAUUGGAGGAGAAGAUCAAAAAGUCCAGACACAAGCAUUCGAGGACAGCCAAUUGAGAAAGAACCCUGGUGCAAGAGCUAUCCAUCAGGCAUCCCCCCCAGCCAACCAAUGUAGAAUCCUGGGGCUGUUCAACAAACUAGCCACCCCACCACAGAAGGCCCCACUCCUCAACACCACCCCCCCUGCAUCUGGCCAGCAGACAAUGCCCCCCUACAGUCUCAUCAGCCUGGGUGUUUGCUCUCUGUGGCGAGAGAGGAGGCUGAGAGUCUAAGUUAGGGACCGGAGAAAUGGUGGAGAGGUAGGUGGGAUAGGAUGGAGAGGUAGGUGGGAUAGGGUGGAGAGGUAGGUGGGAUAGGGUGGAGAGGUAGGUGGGAUAGGGUGGAGAGGUAGGUGGGAUAGGGUGGAGAGGUAGGUGGGAUAGGGUGGAGAGGUAGGUGGGAUAGGGUGGAGUGGUAGGUGGGAUAGGGUGGAGAGGUAGGUGGGAUAGGGUGGAGAGGUAGGUGGGAUAGGGUGGAGAGGUAGGUGGGAUAGGGUGGAGAGGUAGGUGGGAUAGGGUGGAGAGGUAGGUGGGAUAGGGUGGAGAGGUAGGUGGGAUAGGGUGGAGAGGUAGGUGGGAUAGGGUGGAGUGGUAGGUGGGAUAGGGUGGAGAGGUAGGUGGGAUAGGGUGGAGAGGUAGGUGGGAUAGGGUGGAGAGGUAGGUGGGAUAGGGUGGAGAGGUAGGUGGGAUAGGGUGGAGAGGUAGGUGGGAUAGGGUGGAGAGGUAGGUGGGAUAGGGUGGAGAGGUAGGUGGGAUAGGGUGGAGAGGUAGGUGGGAUAGGGUGGAGAGGUAGGUGGGAUAGGGUGGAGAGGUAGGUGGGAUAGGGUGGAGAGGUAGGUGGGAUAGGGUGGAGAGGUAGGUGGGAUAGGGUGGAGAGGUAGGUGGGAUAGGGUGGAGAGGUAGGUGGGAUAGGGUGGAGAGGUAGGUGGGAUAGGGUGGAGAGGUAGGUGGGAUAGGGUGGAGUGGUAGGUUGGGGUGAGGUUAGGGGGGUAUUGGGGUAGAGGGGUGGUGUGAAGUUAGAGGGUAUUGGACAGGAUGAUAGAGGGAGACGUGGGUAUGAACAGUCAGCCAAUGCAGCUCUCCCCAAACUUGGGUCUGGUGAGGGUGAGCAAAUAGAGGGUGAGAGGUCCUAUUGAGGGCCCUGAGGGUGUUGGACGUUCCCUAGUCACCCACACAAACCAAGCACACACACACCAAGCACACCACACACACACACGCACCAAGCACACACACUUGCCCUCAGAUCACCUAAAGCUAAAUUUGUCAUUAUUUGUUGUCACCAUCUCAUUCACAAUAGGAUACAUGACACUACUUUACGGAGAUAACUGUGAACAGAGCAGGGUCUUCAAAUCUCAUCCUAUAUGAGGUCCGGACUACUGCUGGUUCUCUCUUCUACCUGAUAAUGAAUUGCACUCACCUGGUGUCCCAGGUCUAAAUCAUUCCCUGAUUAGAGGGGAAGAAUAGAAAAAAAGCAACAGAACUGGCUUGGAGGUCCAGAUUACAAUGAGGGACAUGUAGACAGUGUGACAUAUAGCUAAUGUACAAAACAUUAGGUACACCUAUAUGUACACAGUGGUAGGUGUAUUAUAUCUAUAUAUAUAUAUAUAUACACACAUAUAAACUGAGUGUACAAAACAUUAGGUACACCUAUAUGUACACAGUGAAUUUGGAAGGUAUUCAGACCCCUUGACUUUAUUCACAUUUUGUUACGUUACAGCCUUAUUCUAAAAUGUAUUUUACAUUGUUUUCCCCUCAUUGAUCUACACACAGUACCCUAUAAAACAGAAAUACCUUAUUGACAUAAGUAUUCACUCUCUUUGCUGUGAGUUGAGCUCAGGUGUAUCCGUUUUCCAUUGAUCAUCCUUGAGAUGUUUCUACAACUUGGAGUCCACCUGUGGUAAAUUCAAUUGAUUGGACAUGAUUUGGAAAGGCACACACCUGUUUAUAUAAGGUCCCACAGUUGACAGUGCAUGUCAGAGCAAAAACCAAGCCUUGAGGUUGAAGGAAUUGUCCGUAGAGCUCCGAGAUAGGAUUGUGUCGAGGCACAGAUCUGCUGAAGGGUUCCAAAAAAAUGUCUGCAGCAUUGAAGGUCCCCAAGAACACAGUGGCCUCCAUCAUUCUUAAAUGGAAGAAGUUUGGAACCACCAAGACUCUUCCUUGAGCUGGCCGCCCAGCCAAACUGAGAAAUCAGGGGAGAAGGGGCUUGGUCAGGGAGGUGACCAAGAACCCGAUGGUCAAUCUGACAGAGUUCCAGAGUUCCUCUGUGGAGAUGGUUGUCCUUAUGGAAGGUUCUCCCAUCUCUGCAGCACUCCACCAAUCAGGCCUUUAUGAUAGAGUGGCCAGAUGGAAGCCACUCCUCAUUAAAAGGAACAUGUCAGGACGCUUAGAGUUGCCAAAAGACACCUAAAGACUCUCAGACCAUGAGAAACAAGAUUCUCUGUUCUGAUGAAACCAAGAUUGAACCCAAGCGCAUUGUCUGGAGGAAACCUGGCACCAUCCCUACGGUGAAGCAUGCUCAUGGCAGCAUCAUGCUGUGGGGAUGUUUUUCAGCGCCAGGGACUGGGAGACUAGUCAGGAUUGAGAGAAAGAUGAACAAAGCAAAGUACAGAGAGAUCCUUGAUGAAAACCUGCCCCAGAGUGCUCAGGAUCUCAGACUGGGGUGAAGGUUCAUCUUCCAACAGGACAACGACCCUAACCACACAGCCAAGACAACACAAGGGUGUAUUUGGGACAAGUCUCUGAAUGUCCUUGAGUGGCCCAGCCAGAGCCCGGACUUGAACCCGUUUUAACAUCUCUGGAGAGUCCUGAAAUUGGCUGUGCAGCGACGCUCCCGAUCUAACCGAACAGAGCUUGAGAGGAUCUGCAGAGAACAAUGGGUGAAACUCCCCAAAUACAGGUGUGCCAAGCUUGUAGCGUCAUACCCAAGAAGACUCAAGGCAGUAAUCACUGCCAAAGGUGCUUCAACAAAGUACUGAGUAAAGGGUAUGAAUACUUGUGAAAAUGUGAUAUUUCAGAUUAUUUUUAUGAAUUUGCAAACAUUUCUAAAAACCUAUUUUUGCUUUGUCAUUAUGGGUUAUUGUGUGUAGAUUAAUGAGGAAAAAAACAAUUUAAUCAAUUUUAGAAUAAGGCUGUAAUGUAACAAAAUGUGGAAAAAGUCACGGAGUCUGAAUACUUUCCGAAUGUAGUGUAUACACUACCAUUCAAAAGUUUGUGGUCACAUAAAUGUCCUUGUUUUUUAAAGAAAAGCUCAUUUUUUGUCCAUCAAAUUGAUCAGAAAUACAGUGUAGACAUUGUUAAUGUUGUAAAUGAGUAUUGUAGCUGGAAACGGCUGAUUUUUUAUGGAAUAUCUACAUAGGCGUACAGAGGCCCAUUAUCAGCAACCAUCACUCCUGUGUUCCAAUGGCACUUUGUUUAAGCUAAUCCAAGUUUAUAAUUUUAAAAGGCUAAUUGAUCAUUAGAAAACCCCUUUGCAAUUAUGUUAGCACAGCUGAAAAUUGUUGUCCUGAUUAAAGAAGCAAAAGAACUGGCCUUCUUUAAACUAGUUGAGUAUCUGGAGCAUCAGAAUAUGUAGGUUCGAUAACAGGCUCAAAAUGGCCAGAAACAAGGAACUUUCUUCUGAAACUCAUCAGUCUAUUCUUGUUCUAAGAAAUGAAGUCUAUUCCAUGCGAGAAAUUGUCAAGAAACUGAAGAUCUCGUACAAUGCUGUGUACUACUCCCUUCACAGAACAUUUCAAACUGGCUCUAACCAGAAUAGAAAGAGUGGGAGGCCCCUGCACAACUGAGCAAAAGGACAAGUAUAUUAGAAUGUCUAGUUUGAGAAACAGAUGCCUCACAUGUCCUCAACUGGCAGCUUCAUUAAAUAGUAUCCACAAAACACCAGUCUCAACAUCAACAGUGAAGAAGCGACUCCGGGACACUGGCCUUCUAGGCAGAGCUCCUCUGUCCAGUGUCUGUGUUCUUUUGCCCAUCUUAAUCUUUUCUUUUUAUUGGCCUGUCUGAGAUAUGGCUUUUUCUUUGCAACUCUGCCUAGAAUGCCAGCAUGCUGGAGUCACCUCUUCA